UCAAUCAGUUUAACAAAAAAUAACAAUCAUUAGUCGAUGCCCAAACAUUGAAAAGGGUUCGACCACCACCUAUUUGUGUCAAACAUAAAUGUGACUUUUUUGGCUUUCAGCCAACCUAGAGACAAGUAUUUUACUUUAUCCAGAAGCCUGAGAAUAGGAGUAAUAGCAUUAUUAAACAACCUAUUGUUACGUUCAGUCCAUAAAACCCGGGCACAAAGAAGUCAGAUGAGUUUAAGGAAAGACCUCCUUGCUUUACACUAACAUUAUUAAUGAUAUUUUUUCUAUCAUUCUCUUUAUCCUUUAUUAAUGACAUGAAAAAGAGGUCCCCGUGAGCAUAGUUCAGUUGGCAGGAACAAUGCAUUAUUAUAUACAGGGGUCGGGGUUCGAAC
rnacentral:lncRNA from 1 species